rnacentral:rRNA from 1 species
GACGAACGCUGGCGGCGUGCUUAACACAUGCAAGUCGAGCGGAGCGGCGAACGGGUGAGUAACGCGUGAGUAACUGCCCCCCUCUCUGGGAUAAAAGGUGGAAACGGCCGCUAAUACCGGAUAGUGGGGGAUGACUCGCGUCCUAUCGGCUUGUUGGUGGGGUAGUGGCCUACCAAGGCGACGACGGGUAGCCGGCCUGGGAGGGCGACCGGCCACAAUGGGCUGGGAGACGGCCCACACUCCUACGGGAGGCAGCAGUGUGGAAUAUUGCACAAUCGGGCAAACCCUGAUGCAGCAACGCCGCGUGCGGGAUGACGGCCUUCGGGUUAUAAACCGCUUUCAGCCAUGACGCGGUAGUGGCAGAAGAAGCACCGGCUAACUACGUGCCAGCAGCCGCGGUAAUAC